CCGAGAGGAGUCAGGGGAGGAAGUGGAAGAUGAACAGUAUUGAAAUCUACUGUGGGUAUGCACGCGUGAUAGUACACAUUCAUGAUAGUAUGCAUGUGUGAUAGCCUCAAAGAGUUAACAUGAAUGGUAUAUUAAAAAGAGAGCGCUCCAGACUAGCCUAGACUACACAGUGAGAACCCGCCUCAAGCCAAGAAGCAAACAUUAUUAAUAAAUGGUAAGAGAUGGAUGUGAGCAUAGAGAGAGCCUCAGGAAGAGCCAUGGUGGCUGAACCUGAAAAGAAGAUGCUUUGGUUAUGGGGUGUGGGUAGGUGGCGGCACGCCUGGAGGAGAGCUGCUGCUGAGCUGUCCUGGAGCUCUACAGUGACGGGGAGUUCAUGAGUCUUUUACUGAACCUGGAGUGCAUCCAUUUGGCUAGGAGGGCUAACUAUCCAGCUCCAUGGAUCUGCCCGUCAUGCUCCACCCCCCACCCCCCACCGGCUUUUUACAUGGUGCUGGGAAUCAUGCAGUCCUUACACAUGCCAAGCAAGCACCUUAUCAACGGAGCCACCUCCCCAGGGUUCAGAACUGGCUUUUCAAGGGUCUCUUACUGAACCUGGAGCACACGGACUCUCCAAAACUGGCUGUCAAGUGGCCCCAGGAACUUCCUGUUGCUGUUUCCCUCAUACUGGGGUCACAGGUGCUUGGCACCAUCUGGAAUUCUGCAUGAGACCUGAGGAUCUGAACUCAGAUUCUCCGGCCUGUUUAUCAAACACUUCAUCCAAAACGCUGUCUCCCAACCCCCUAGUUACACUUUUCCUGUUAUUAGUCUCUAGACUUUAAAAAAAUGUUUUGAGUCUUUUAUUUAAUUAACUUUAUUUUCAAAAGAAACCUCAUCUCCCCAAGAUGGAAAAAAUGGUGUCUUUACCAUAAAUUGGAGGGAAGUGCAGACAAUGAAAC